CGGGUGAGUAACACGUGGGUAACCUGCCCGGAGGUGGGGGAUAACUCUUCGAAAGGAGAGCUAAUACCGCAUAACAUCCCGAGUACUUCGGUACACGGAAUCAAAGUUUGCCUCUGUUUCAUGCAAACGCCACCGGAGGGACCCGCGCCCCAUUAGCUUGAUGGUGAGGUAACGGCUCACCAUGGCUACGAUGGGUAGCCGGCCUGAGAGGGUGAUCGGCCACACUGGAACUGAGACACGGUCCAG
rnacentral:rRNA from 1 species